ensembl:lincRNA
GUGUGCUCUGGAGGAGCCGGGCCUGGAGUGAGGGGCACUCAGGGCCCCAGCACGCAACCCCGGUCAGAGAGAGGCCUGGGGUGCUGCGGGCAGCAGGGACCCGAGGGACCUGCUGGUCACUACUCCAGGCAUCAAAGCAGCAAACAAGAUCAGAGACAAGGCUGCCGGGGCCUUGAAUGCCGGGAGAGCGGGAGCUGGCGGGGCUGGGCCCAGUCAGUGGGGAGCACGUGGUCACCCGGGUCUGUCUGUCCCUCCGCAGGUGCCCUGCCCCCCACCACCCCAGAACCACCUCUGCUGGGAGUGGCCUGCACCCCAAUAAACCGUUCCCAGUGCUCCGCUGUGCUCUGUUCUUUCCACCCGCGGGAGGCCUGGCCAGGACUGGGGCUCCCGUGCACCCCCAGGCGCCCGAGCUCAGAGUCCGACUGGCUGCGGGGUGGCAGUGGGGAGCGCCGGCGGCGUAGUGGGGCAGGCCCUGGGUUCCGUGCCCUGCACCCCGAGACAGAACGAUCGAGGAUCGGAGCAGACUGGAGGGACGGGCCAGCAGGGCCCCAGGCUGGCCGGCUGGGAGCGAGGCGGGGCUCCUCCCCCGGGCCUCAGGGCGCAGCGAGGCCUGGGGUUCAGCCGGAAUCCCUGCUGGGUUCAAACCCUUGGCCACCGCGCCCGGGCACCGGGGCCCAGCUUCGGCCUCACAGUCGGGGUGCAGUUUCGGGUCCCCGAGCCUUGGGGACCUCGCAGAGCGCUGGUGACAGCGACCCGAGCAGCCCGGCGCGGCAGGGCCGGGAGGACCGAAGGACGGGCGACACCCCCGCCCGGGCCGUGCGGGCACUACCCGGCCUCUGGCCCUGGGGUCGUCUGACCGCCGCCGAGAGCCACUCCUCCGGCGACAGGGCUGGGUUCUGCUCCCGGGCCGCAGCGUCCCUCCGAGGCGGCAGCAGCGGGAGGGCGGGGCCUGGGCACCAGGAGGCGCGGACGGUACCCGUGCGGGCGGGCAGGGCCCUGGCGGGGCCGGGGCUGCAGCGCUUCUGCCCGCGAGCUUGCUCUUCGCUCGGGCGGAAAAUCUCUGCCCCGCUCUCUCCCGUCCUCCGCCCCCUCCUCCUUCUCCGCCUCCUCUUCUCCUUUCUUCUCUCUCUCCCCACUGAGGUGGAACCCAGGGCACCCCAGCCUCCCCUUCGUUUGGUCACCUGUCUGAGCUCUGUCACCGCUCCUUCCUGACCCCACCUCUUUUUGGGGCACUGGGGACCGAACCCAGCGCCUUCCCACUGCGCUGCAUUGCCAGCCCUUUUUUCGGUUGUUUUUAUUUUGUGACGGGGCCUCCCUAGAUGGCCCAGGCUGGGCUCGAACUUGUGAUCCUCCUGCCUCAGCCUCCUUCCUUAUAAUACUCCCUGUCCGCAGCACAUCACUUGUGUGUCCUUCCCUCCCCAGUGACAGGGACAGAGUCUGACACCGCCACACACUGUCGAUGCUCAGACUUGAGCUGUGUCCCAUUCUGGCAGUGCUGCUGGGUGACGUUGGGACUGUUACUUAACCUCUCCGGACUGUGCAGUUCCUUCAGCCUCAGGAAUAAGAAAGCACGGUGGCGCACACCUGUGAUCCCAGACUCAAAAGGCUGAGGCAGGAGGAUCAUUGAAGCCCAGCCUGGGCAAUUGAGCAACUUAGCAAGAGUUAAGUCUCAAAAAAUAAAAACUAAAAAAGGGUUGGAGGCCCGACCUCGUCGUUCCCCGGACGGAGGACUUCCGGCGCACAGGGAGCCUCGCGCA